CCAGAGAUGGAUUGGUGCCUUCGGGAACGUCUGACACAGGUGCUGCAUGGCUGUCGUCAGCUCGUGUCGUGAGAUGUUGGGUUAAGUCCGUAACGAGCGCAACCCUUGUCCUUAGUUACCAGCACGUUAUGGUGGGCACUCUAAGGAGACUGCCGGUGACAAACCGGAGGAAGGUGGGGGAUGACGUCAAGUCAUCAUGGCCCUUACGGCCUGGGCUACACACGUGCUACAAUGGUCGGUACAAAGGGUUGCCAAGCCGCGAGGUGGAGCUAAUCCCAUAAAAACCGAUCGUAGUCCGGAUCGCAGUCUGCAACUCGACUGCGUGAAGUCGGAAUCGCUAGUAAUCGUGAAUCAGAAUGUCACGGUGAAUACGUUCCCGGGCCUU
rnacentral:rRNA from 1 species